rnacentral:rRNA from 1 species
UACGUAGGCAGCAAGCGUUGUUCGGAAUUACUGGGCGUAAAGAGUGUGUAGGCGGUGCUCUAAGUUCGGUGUGAAAUCUCCUGGCUUAACUGGGAGGGUGCGCCGGAAACUGGAGUGCUCGAGCGUGGGAGAGGAAAGCGGAAUUCCUGGUGUAGCGGUGAAAUGCGUAGAUAUCAGGAGGAACACUGUGGUGUAGACAGCUUUCUGGACCAUAGCUGACGCUGAGACACGAAAGCGUGGGUAGCAAACAGG